rnacentral:rRNA from 1 species
AGAGUUUGAUCCUGGCUCAGGACGAACGCUGGCGGCGCGCCUAACACAUGCAAGUCGAACGGAGCUUAGAGAGCUUGCUUUUUAAGCUUAGUGGCGAACGGGUGAGUAACGCGUGAGUAACCUGCCCUAGAGUGGGGGACAACAGUUGGAAACGACUGCUAAUACCGCAUAAGCCCACGGUACCGCAUGGUACUGAGGGAAAAGGAUUUAUUCGCUUUAGGAUGGACUCGCGUCCAAUUAGCUAGUUGGUGAGGUAACGGCCCACCAAGGCGACGAUUGGUAGCCGGACUGAGAGGUUGAACGGCCACAUUGGGACUGAGACACGGCCCAGACUCCUACGGGAGGCAGCAGUGGGGGAUAUUGCACAAUGGGGGAAACCCUGAUGCAGCGACGCCGCGUGGAGGAAGAAGGUUUUCGGAUUGUAAACUCCUGUCGUUAGGGACGAUAAUGACGGUACCUAACAAGAAAGCACCGGCUAACUACGUGCCAGCAGCCGCGGUAAAACGUAGGGUGCAAGCGUUGUCCGGAAUUACUGGGUGUAAAGGGAGCGCAGGCGGGAAGACAAGUUGGAAGUGAAAACCAUGGGCUCAACCCAUGAAUUGCUUUCAAAACUGUUUUUCUUGAGUAGUGCAAGAGGUAGAUGGAAUUCCCGGUGUAGCGGGUGGAAUGCGUAGAUAUCGGGAGGAACACCAGUGGCGAAGGCGGUCUACUGGGCACCAACUGACGCUGAGGCUCGAAAGCAUGGGUAGCAAACAGGAUUAGAUACCCUGGUAGUCCAUGCCGUAAACGAUGAUUACUAGGUGUUGGGGGAUUGACCCCCUCAGUGCCGCAGUUAACACAAUAAGUAAUCCACCUGGGGAGUACGACCGCAAGGUUGAAACUCAAAGGAAUUGACGGGGGCCCGCACAAGCAGUGGAGUAUGUGGUUUAAUUCGAAGCAACGCGAAGAACCUUACCAGGUCUUGACAUCCGAUGCAUAACACAGAGAUGUGUGAAAUCCUUCGGGACAUCGAGACAGGUGGUGCAUGGUUGUCGUCAGCUCGUGUCGUGAGAUGUUGGGUUAAGUCCCGCAACGAGCGCAACCCUUAUUGCCAGUUACUACGUUAAGAGGACUCUGGCGAGACUGCCGUUGACAAAACGGAGGAAGGUGGGGAUGACGUCAAAUCAUCAUGCCCUUUAUGACCUGGGCUACACACGUACUACAAUGGCGUUAAACAAAGAGAAGCAAGACCGCGAGGUGGAGCAAAACUCAAAAACAACGUCUCAGUUCAGAUUGCAGGCUGCAACUCGCCUGCAUGAAGUCGGAAUUGCUAGUAAUCGCGGAUCAGCAUGCCGCGGUGAAUACGUUCCCGGGCCUUGCACUCACCGCCCGUCA